CCUGGCGGGAGCGGGAACGACGUCAACACGCGUGCCCUGCCCUGCCCGCUGCCCUGCCCGCUGCCGCCGGCGCUUUCAACUCACCAUGCCGUCCAAGUAGUCGUUUUGAUCCUCGGCCUCUCUGUCGAUGUCGUACGCCAGCUAUUUGAGUCGGGAGACUUUAGUGGCCAAGUUGUCAGCCAGACGUUUGUUCUCGGCGUCCAGCAUGUCCUCCACCGACCCAUGCCCUGCGAGAACCAACACGCGAGUCCUUCUAUGACACAGCGCCUCAUUGUAUGACACACACACAAGAUAAGAUAAGAUAAGAUAGGAUAGCGAGGGCCACGUUGCACUUCAAGCGCAAUUCGUUCGUUCGUUGAAAGCACCACGAAGACUUCGUCAGAUGAUCGAUCUGGCAAGCCAAGUCGUCAACACAAGCCUCCGAGCGGCGAAGGGAGUUUCGGAAUACGGAGGGCCUCAUGGAAAUAAUCGCUAAACGUGAAUAGCGUGCUUAGGUGUAGUUAACGGGGUUCUGGUUCUGGUUGUUCGUUCGCCCGCCGGAUUCGGACGUGUCAAAACAAAUAUUGUACCUCUGUUCCUGUCCGCCGCCAUGUCGGCAAGUGACGUCACGCGCACGUGAUCGGACUGGGGAGGGAGGGAGGGUGCGAUUGAGAGAGCGAGCGUGACGUCAGUGCCACAGAAACAAUCCACUCGUCAAUAACGAAAAGAAAGAAAAACCCAAAUAAAAUCAUGUAUAAGCGAAGAUGACCUUGUAUUUGUGUGAUCUGUAUCAUAUAUUUUUGUAGAAGAGAUUUCUCGACAUUUUCUUUAUCCCUUGUAGACGUUUCUGUACUUUUUGUGAUCUCAAAUAAAUUGAUCUAAAAAAA